UGUUUAUUUUCUUCUUCUGGAGUAUGGUUUCUCAAUAUCGCUAUGUUGACCUGGAGGUUCAAGAACCUCUUGCCUUAGCCUCUCAUUCUCUCACAGUAAAGACAGACUUUCCACUAGGGGAGAGGGGAUUUUGAAAGCCAAGUCCCCCUCACCCAUUCUCCCUGGACAUUUAAAUGUUUUUAGUGGUACAGUGUGGGUCCUCUUCUCCUUAUUCUGGAUUGGCUGACUUCAACAAGUAAAAGGGAGAUGAUAUACACAGCCUCACACAAGCAGAGACGUGUCCAGGACUGAUCUUGGGCACAUCAGUAGAGUGAAAAAGCCCACCAGGCCUUUGUUCUGAAUGAACAUGGGGGUUAUCCUUGGCCUCUUUUCCCACCUGUCUGCCUGUUGGGGUGCUUACCUUCAAUAAUUUGUGCUUUUCCCUUUCCUUCCCAAUUAUUUUCUUCCUACUCAUUUUGGGCUAUCUCAUGUUAAAGAGACUUAUCUAGAAUGUAAUAAAUUCAUGAUCACCCAUUCUUAUUUUAAAGUUUUCUAAAAGUCAGUAAGGGUUGCAGAGACUAGGGUGCAUCUCAGUUCAGUACUUGUUCAAUGCCAUUUCAGUUGAUACACCAUGGGCAGACCUUGAACGCCAGAUACCAAUCAGUGCCUCAGCCUCUUAAGUAAACGAGCUCACAGACCUGCACCACUCUUACACUGACUCUUGUCUCACUUCUCACUGGGAAGCGAGCAGCACUGCUUCCUUCAAAAACAAUUUGGAAAACGGUUUUUCCUGUAUGCAGAACAAUCCACGAAAGUCAAGCUAUGAGUUUCUAGUGAGUGGGUUAAGCCUAUCACAAGCAAGAGCCAACAGCAGGCAGCAGAUAAAGUGAGUCCAACAGGGAACGCCCUGGAGGACAAACAGGACCCUAGACUGGAGCCCCGCCUGGCCCUGGACAACUGGUCUUGGAAGAACUCUUAGGACCAACAAGCUUAGGGAGCCUUAACGAGAAGGCUCGAUGAGAAGGGCACUUGCUGCUGAGCCCAACUAAUGGCGUUGUCUGAGGUCCAAACUGAAACUCUUCUGGGAAAUGAGACUCAUGGAGGCGGGGUGAGCGAUACAAAAGCAAGAGUUUGCAGGGGCUGUCCCAUUCCAAGGGGAGACAACCCUGGAUAGACUCUUAACAGGGGGUUAUAUACCUUGCAAACAAUUGGGGCAGAAUUUGCACAAAGGUACCUAGGCAGGGCACAAUGGCAUUUGAUGGAAACAACUUUCAGAUCCACUCCGUGUACUGUUCAGGACUUUUAGUUGGGAGUCAGGUAGCUUUGUGUGACAGGUUUGGUUUGCUGCUGUUCCAGGAACUAAACCAGCUUUUUUCUUCCAGGAAGGGAGGGGUCCUUGUGCUCAGAAGUUUGUAGUGAGAAUUUUCCCGCUGGCCCCGUAUUGGUCCCAAUUCUGGUUCUUUCAGUUGAAAGAAGGUAGACAGAUGACUCCCACAGAUCGUCUUGACAUUCUAUUUUCCAAUUACUUUACUGCCCUCCUGCUUGGCAUGUGUUUGCCCAGCUCAUAAGAGAUGGACUAUUUAUUAAAAUGCCUGAAUCAGAGAAAUAAGAUCUCAUCAGCUGAUGCCAGGUAUGGAACCUGGCACUGUCUUCAUGCUGCGCACCAUAAUGUACUGAUUACUACUAUUUUUAAAAAGCACACAUAUAAACACGUUUAUUACAUAUAUUUGUUGCAAAAAAACAAAAAACCACACAGGCACAUACAAAACAAAAAGUAGGCUUACAUUAGUUUAGGACGUUAACUGUCUUCAAACACAUUUUUCAUCUUUUCAGCAUAUAGUACUCUAGUUAUAUACAUUUAAAGCAGAUAAAAUAAGGCUUGAAACUGGUAAAAUGUUAAUUUAAUCCAUAUUCAGAAACUUGUAAAAUAAAAGGUAACAAUGAAGAAAUAAUUAAGAAAGUUGUACAAACGACCAUGGUUAUUAUUUCCCUUUAUAAAAGUAUUCCAAUAAAACAAAAUAAAAACUGUGGAACACAAAAGUCAAAUUAGAGAUUUUGGUUGUAGUACCUUCCCUGAGUUUCUUUGUAAAACAUCAAAUUUAAAUAAGGCCAUUUAAAAACUGACCUAACGGCCUUACCCCUCCACGCCGCCAUUACACACAAUGCAUGUAACACAGGAGGUUGCACCCACUAAAAUGGCCCCAGGGCUGUGAAAGGCCAGCCUGUGUCUAUGCCACAGGACAACCUCAGGCACCGCACGCAGCACAUGACCUCGAAGUCCUAACAGUUUAUUUUGACCUGCCAUAUGUGACACACCACACUAUAUACCAAAUGUGGACUAAUGAUUUCAGUUUUUAAUAAAUAUUAUAUUUCUAAGUGGGUUUGGAAAGUAGCAAAUUUUGGCAAUAUAGAGACAAUUAUUUUUCCAUGUGAAAAAUCCCACACAAACAGGAGUUAGUAAAUCACCUCAAUCCACUAAAUCUGCAUCAUAAAAAAAUUAAAAAUGUCACUAGACCUAACAAAAAAAAUUAGAAAAAACAUGAUCAUGAGCUAACGCUUGGGUACAGGCAAUCUAAUUCCCCAAACAGUGGCUGUCCCCUCAGCCUUUAAACAAAAUCGGCCCUACUGUGUCUCUAUUCCCUCUGUUUAAACCAAAUGCAUACAUGUAUACAAGUACACAGUUCUGUAAAUGAUCAAGCACUCAUUCAAACAGCCAAGUUUAAUCAAA
rnacentral:sRNA from 1 species